rnacentral:lncRNA from 1 species
GGCGCGGCGACCCGCAGGGCCAGGUGCAGGGCCCGAGAGUCCGGGGUCGCCGCAGCCCGCGAGAAGUGACCGGUCUCCGGCCUGCUUGUGCUGUCCCCGCGCCCUGUCCACUGGACUCCCGAGACCCUCGGAACCCAGAGGCAGUUCCAGACACCCGGUUGCUGGAACGUUACUUCUGGGUGUAGCUUAACAAGACCAUGGCCUCUGGACUUACCCUGUGAUCAGCUCGCUGUGUGGUCCUGCGCAGCCACCCAACAUCUCUGGGCCCUGGAUUCCUACCUGGCCUCUCUUCUGGAUGCCUUUUUGCCUAUAUACAAUUUUGGCACCGAAGUGCAGUUUUCGUGAACACAGCAUGGCAACCACUGGGUAGAAGAUGCCAGACAACCGGGCCAGAUCCUGCCUCUAGGGCUCAGAGUGCAGUGGACAGCAGAAGUCAUUCAGUGGCUCAGCAAACAUUCAUUCACUGAACAGGAACACUGAACAGUGUUCCUGGGCUGGGCACCACGGGCACAGCAAUGACCAAGACAAGCUCAGUCUGUCUUGACCCGAUGGAAACCAGGACACUGGCAUCUAAUUGAAGUUUGCAAAUGAAAUGAUAGAUACCCUUGUACUGGAACCCAGAAGAGAGUGGAAGCUAAUUUUGCCCUAGAAAACAUUAUAGAGCAAGUGACAUUUGCGUUUAGCCGUAAGAAAAGGAAGAAUUUUGUCAAGAAGACAGGAUUACAUGCCUGUAAUCCCAGCACUUUUGGAGGUCAAGGUGGGAGAGUCACUUGAGCCCAGGAGUUCAAGACCAGCCUGGGAAACAUAGCAAGACCCCAUUUCUACAAAAAUAAAAUAAAAUAAAGUAAAAGAAAAAAUAAAACUAGCCAGGGCCAGCUGUGGUGGCUCAUGUCUGUAAUCCCAGCGCUUUGGGAGGCCGAGACAGGCAGAUCACCUGAGAUCAGGAGUUCGAGACCAGCCUGACCAACCAUGGCUAACAUGGUGAAACCCCAUCUCUACUAAAAAUACAAAAAUCAGCUGGGCACGGUGGUGGGCACCUGUAACCCCAGUUACUCAGGAGGCUAAGGAGAAUUGCUUGAACCCAGGAGGCAGAGGUUGCAGUGAGCGGAGAUCGCACCACUGCACUCCAGCCUAGGUGACAGAGUGAGACUCCGUCUCAAUAAAACAAAAAAUAAAAAACAACAAAAACCUAGCCAGGCAUUGUGGCAUGUGCCUGCGGUCCAAGCUACUCAGGAGAGAGGCUAGGGUGAGAGGAUCAUCUCAGCCUAGGAGGUGGAGGCUGUAGUGAGCUGUGUUUGCACCACUGCACUCCAGGCCAGGUGACAGAGUGAGACCUGGAAGAAGAAGAAGAAGAAGGAGAAGGAGAAGGAGAAGGAGAAGGAGAAGGAGAAGGAAGAAGGAGGGGAAGGGGAAGAGAAAGGGGAAGGGGAAGGGGAAGGGGA